rnacentral:tRNA from 1 species
GAAAUAUGAUUAAUCAAUUAAAGGCUUCUAACUUUUUAAUUUAAUGGAAUUUAAACCAUUAAUAUUUCU